rnacentral:misc_RNA from 1 species
UGGUUCUGGCAUCGAUGAAGAACGCAGCGAAAUGCGAUAAGUAAUGUGAAUUGCAGAAUUCAGUGAAUCAUCGAAUCUUUGAACGCACAUUGCGCCCCCCGGUAUUCCGGGGGGCAUGCCCGUUCGAGCGUCAUUACACCCCUCAAGCCUCGCUUGGUAUUGGGGCCCGCGGAGUCCGCGCCCCCCGAAUCUACCGGCCGGCAGCGCCGUCCCUCAGCGUCGUGCUCGAAAUACCGCCGAUGGGACCUGUGUUGACCUUCGCCGUCAAAAAGCCAUCAAAGGUUGACCUCGGAUCGGGUAGGGAUACCCGCUGA